rnacentral:rRNA from 1 species
UACGUAGGGAGCAAGCGUUGUUCGGAUUUACUGGGCGUAAAGGGCGCGUAGGCGGCGUGUUAAGUCAGCUGUGAAAUCUCCGAGCUUAACUCGGAACGGUCAGCUGAUACUGAUGUGCUAGAGUGCAGAAGGGGCAAUCGGAAUUCUUGGUGUAGCGGUGAAAUGCGUAGAUAUCAAGAGGAACACCUGAGGUGAAGACGGGUUGCUGGGCUGACACUGACGCUGAGGCGCGAAAGCCAGGGGAGCAAACGGG